rnacentral:rRNA from 1 species
AGAGUUUGAUCAUGGCUCAGGAUGAACGCUGGCGGCGUGCUUAACACAUGCAAGUCGAACGGUGAAGCCCCGCUUGCGGGGUGGAUCAGUGGCGAACGGGUGAGUAACACGUGAGCAACCUGCCCCUGACUCUGGGAUAAGCGCUGGAAACGGCGCCUAAUACUGGAUACGAGACGUGAUCGCAUGGUCAACGUUUGGAAAGAUUUUUCGGUUGGGGAUGGGCUCGCGGCCUAUCAGCUUGUUGGUGAGGUAAUGGCUCACCAAGGCGUCGACGGGUAGCCGGCCUGAGAGGGUGACCGGCCACACUGGGACUGAGACACGGCCCAGACUCCUACGGGAGGCAGCAGUGGGGAAUAUUGCACAAUGGGCGCAAGCCUGAUGCAGCAACGCCGCGUGAGGGAUGACGGCCUUCGGGUUGUAAACCUCUUUUAGCAGGGAAGAAGCGAGAGUGACGGUACCUGCAGAAAAAGCACCGGCUAACUACGUGCCAGCAGCCGCGGUAAUACGUAGGGUGCAAGCGUUAUCCGGAAUUAUUGGGCGUAAAGAGCUCGUAGGCGGUUUGUCGCGUCUGCUGUGAAAUCUGGGGGCUCAACCCCCAGCCUGCAGUGGGUACGGGCAGACUAGAGUGCGGUAGGGGAGAUUGGAAUUCCUGGUGUAGCGGUGGAAUGCGCAGAUAUCAGGAGGAACACCGAUGGCGAAGGCAGAUCUCUGGGCCGUAACUGACGCUGAGGAGCGAAAGGGUGGGGAGCAAACAGGCUUAGAUACCCUGGUAGUCC